GCUGCGAUGGCCGAGUCGUUAAGGCGAGUGAUUUGAACCACUCUAUAUCACUUGGGAUUUUCCCGCGUAGGUUCAAAUCCUGCUCGCAGCG
rfam:Daedalea quercina L-15889 unplaced genomic scaffold DAEQTscaffold_1, whole genome shotgun sequence.